rnacentral:tRNA from 1 species
GCGGGAAUAGCUCAGUUGGUAGAGCAUAACCUUGCCAAGGGUCGCGAGUUNGUAGAGCAUAACCUUGCCAAGGUUGGGGUCGCGAGUUCGAGUCUCGUUUCCCGCUCCA